ACGGAAGGCAGCAGUGAGGAAUAUUGGUCAAUGGGCGGAAGCCUGAACCAGCCAUGUCGCGUGCAGGACUACGGCCCUACGGGUCUUAAACUGCUUUUGCAAGGGGAUAAAGUGGGGCACGCGUGCCCCUUUGCAGGUACCUUGCGAAUAAGGAUCGGCUAACUCCGUGCCAGCAGCCGCGGUAAUACGGAGGAUCCGAGCGUUAUCCGGAUUUAUUGGGUUUAAAGGGUGCGUAGGCGGGCUGUUAAGUCAGCGGUGAAACCCCCGGGCUCAACCCGGGGACUGCCAUUGAAACUGGCGGCCUUGAGUACGUUGGGAGUGCGCGGAAUGUGUGGUGUAGCGGUGAAAUGCAUAGAUAUUAGGAGGAACACCAGUGGCGAAGGCGGCUUGCUGGACGACAACUGACGCUGAGGCGCGAAAGCGUGGGGAGCAAACAGGAUUAGAUACCCUGGUA
rnacentral:rRNA from 1 species